AAGAGAAGUCAAGGACAGAAAGAACUGCUAAUUCUUUCUAGCCGGAGUUCGAAUCCCCGGUUCACUUA
rnacentral:tRNA from 1 species